GACGAACGCUGGCGGCGUGCUUAACACAUGCAAGUCGAACGGAGUGGCGAACGGGUGAGUAACACGCAGGUGAUCUGCCUUGAACUACGGGAUAAUCUGGGGAAACUGGGUCUAAAACCGGCUAGUGAAAGAUGAGCUCGCGGCCUAUCAGCUUGUUGGUGGGGUAAUGGCCUACCAAGUCGUCAACGGGUAGCCGGCCUGGGAGCGUGUACGGCCACAUUGGGACUGAGAUACGGCACAGACUCCUACGGGAGGCAGCAGUGGGGAAUAUUGCACAAUGGGCGGAAGCCUGAUGCAGCGACGCCGCGUGGGGGAUGAAGGCCUUCGGGUUGUAAACUCCUUUCGACAGGGACGCGGUACCUGUAUAAGAAGCACCGGCUAACUACGUGCCAGCAGCCGCGGUAAUAC
rnacentral:rRNA from 1 species